GAGUGCGGGUUGGCCAGCUUUACGAACAGGAGGCUGCUCUUCUUCUUCUUCUUCGAGGCAUCUUUUAAAUGUUCUGAAAGGAAAAGGUGAGUGGGAAAUUAAAGGCACUUUCUCUGCUGUGCCUCGCUUCACCCUGUUUUCCACUGUUCCACUUAUUCGAUUUUUCUUUCUAAAAACUUUGCUUUAUCAUUUGUGAGCCAUGUGACCCUCAGUAAGCAACUAUUUUCAAUGUAAGCUACAGUGAGACUUGAAGUGUGUUUAAUUUGCUUCUAGGGGCAGGGAUGCGGGGCAGGCUUUAGAGUCAGAUGUCUUAAGCUUUGCCACCUUGGCCAGGGCUUGAUCAUCUCCUCAGUCUUAGCCUCCUUUUAGAAGAUGCUAAUGGCGGUAUUUAAAAACAAAACCAAAACCAAAAAACCAAAAAACCUUAAGCUAAGGAGUCAAAGGCACUCGCCAUAAUCAAACUGAAAUACAAAAUAAGUCCUAAAUAUAUUUAUGAAGGUCAUUUAAAAAACACUAGUUACUAGACCUCUCUAGGUUUCAUUUCUGACACCAAUUAAUCACAACCCUUGUCAUUUUCUCAGUGGGGUUGUCAUUUAAAAAAAAAUCUUAUGAACAGCCUUUAUAUAAAAAAGACAGUAACUGUAUUUUAGCUCUAUUUUUAUAACUCUCUUUUGCCAUAUUAAGCAUAGAGAAUCUUCAUAUAACCCUAUUUUUCAUUAUGUUUGUAUCUUUUGUGUCAUACUUUAGAAAGUCUUCUUCCUCAAAAACACAUGUAUUUUUUAUAUUUUCUAUGGAUAUGUUAAAUUUAUAUUUAGGUGAUUCAGAAUAUACCCUGGGUUAAGAUACUGUUAAUAAAUCUAAUUUUCAAUGAGUUGGUCAUCUGCUUCAAAACCCACUGGGUGGAAUCUUCAAAGUAACCGCUUAAAUACACUGUGGUCUGUCUGCAGACAUUCUUCUUUGAUCCACUCAUCUGCAUCUGUCAUAGAGUCAGACCUCAGGACUUUAAUUAUAAUAGAAUAACCUUAUUCUGCAGAAAGCAAGUACCUGCACUGUUUCCUCCACAGGACGGGACUGUCAAAGUUUCAACUGCAUAGAUUAAAACAUGGAAACCAAGAUGGAUGACACCUUCCAUAGACUGAGCACCACAGUCAAAACUCAACACAGACACCAAAGAAACCAGGCAGCCAAGGAACACAACCCAUCUACACAAGAGCACCCCAGGAAGAUGGGCCAAGGAGCACACCUCAUCUACACAAGAGCACCCCAGGAAGGUGGCCAAGGCUGCACACAGCCCAUCUAGGUAAGAGCAGCCAGAGAGGUCUUGGUGAGGAACUGAGCUUCUUCUCCGUGCUCUGUGCAUCCCAUACACACAGAGAUAUUGCAAGCGGGUUCAAACACUGGCUUAGCCAUAAAAAGAACACAACUUUUUCUUGAGCUAACAGCAGUGGGCUCACUGCCCUGGCAUACUUCCUUGAGAGGGUUUCCAGGCCCUGGGGCAGAGGAACAAGGCAAAGCCUGGCUGACUUAGAGCUGACAUGAUAGAGCAGAGAGCUCCAAAGACAGGAGGGUGAUGGCAUCCAUGUGGAAGAAGGCUGAUAAAAAAGUCCCAUCCCAAGUGUGUGCAGCAGGGCCUCUCUGGGGAAUCAUUGGGAAACUGCACUUCCCUUCCACAUGCACAUGAGACUCUCCAUGAAAAGCAGAGAUCCCAACUCCCAUUCAUUCUUCAUGAUCCCAGGGCAUGAAAUGGUAGAACACUCAACAGGUACUUCCCUGGAAGGAAGCAACAGUUACUCCUAACUGACAGCUGCUAAGAUCUUGUCACACUAAUUUAAAAGCAACAGCUAAAGGAUCCAACUCAGUUUACCAAGUAACUUAUUUUUGAAGUCCAAAAUAAUUAAUAAUACAAAAACAUUCAUCACUGUAAAAGGUAAAUUCAUGCCUGGCACUUAAUCAAAUAUGACUAGAUAUUAAAAAAUGUGGACAAGUAUGACCCACGAUGAAAGGUGGGGAAAAGGUCAAUUAUUACAAAAGAGAUUUGUAUUAUAUGGAACCAAAUGAAAACGGCAUAAAAAUAUACCUCAUGCAUAAAAUGUUAAGGGAACAGAAAACCUUUAAAUGAUCUAAAUCAAAAUGCUGGAGAAGAAAAAUCCAACAGAAAGAACUACUAGC
rnacentral:lncRNA from 1 species